AUGUGGUAGGAUAGUUGGACAAGGUUGAGAUAUUGGGACCAGGGCUUUGUGUCAGCACCAUUCUGCAGUCACAUGGGUUUUUCCAGGACUUAGCGCAGAGAUAUAGAUGCACAGAAGUAAAAAAUAUUGUAUUGUUCUUGGAUUGAAAUGUUUGCAGGGUAGCGGUGGGUAUUGACAUGUAGAGCCAAACAGAGCUCUUCACCUGAAAGAAAAUGCUACUUGGAAGAGAGUCAGAGUCUUAAUGAGUUUGUGGAACAGAUGUAGAGGAACCGUGAAGUUGAGAGAGCUGAAAAGAUAGGGGUGCUGGUGAGAGAAUAUCACAGGGUAAAUAGGUAAAGAGUUCACAGAGUUUGGGUGGCCAUGACUGUGACUGGCUAAAGCAGAGUGGAGAUGAAGAUCAUUAUAAUGAGUGAGCAACGGCAUUGGAUGGUCAUUUAAAAGGACAUUAAAGUCACCCAGGAUCUUGGAUUGGGAUUUAAAGCUUUUUUUUUUUUUUGUCUUUUUGCCACUCCCGCAGCAUAUGGAGGCUCCCAGGCUAGGGGUCUACUUGGAGCUGUAGCCGCCGGUCUACACCAGAGCCACAGCAACAUGGGAUCCGAGGCAUGUCUGCCACCUAUACCACAGCUCAUGUUUCCUAGUCAGAUUCAUUAACCACUGAGCCACAACGGGAAUUCCAGUAUUAAAGCUUUAAAUUAUUUUUUGUUUGUUUGUUUUGUUUUGUUUUGUUUUGUUUGGCCACCCUGCAGCAUUAUCGAUUUCCUAGGCCAGAGAUCAGAUCCGAGCAACAGUUGGGACCUACACCACAGAUGUGGCAACACCAGAUCCUUCACCUACUUACUGCACCAGGCUAGGGGUCAAACAUGUAUCCCAGCACUGCGGAGACACCACCGAUCCUGUUGUGCCACAGCAGGAACUCCAGAAAUAGUAUCUUUUUAAAGUGACAGUGAAGAAAGCUAGCUAGUUGUGCGCUGAGAUAGUAUGGUUUUUGAAAAAUGAAGAUCCUGCACUGUAGUAAACAUUAGUGGACAUAGGAAAGAGCCCAGAUGCAGCUAAGGUGGAAAUCCGGGGGAAGGCAGAUCUCUCCUAAGAGGAAAAUGAACAAGAGGGUUUUGGGUUGAUGGCUUGGUUUAAGAUUGUUACUUUCCUUUGGUUUUAACCAUUCACACAAGCAUAUUUGAAGAAUACAUGUUUUAGAAGACAGUUAAGGAAUGAGAUUUUAAGGAAAUGUCUUCAGUUCCAGAAAGACAUAGGUGUUCUUAAUCACCUGUGGUUUCUUUUGCAUGAAUAAAAUUGCCAAGAGUUCAUCUUCCGAAGAAGAAAAAGUUCAAGUGUAAGACCUGAGAUGAAUUGUAAGGUUAUCAAAAAGGCUUAUACGUUGGGACCUGUAUGCUUGCUGAGGGAGUAGCCAUUGACCUUGAAAGCAACCAGUUGUAUUGACUUUGUUAUGUUGGCACCAGGAAAGCACAGAACAGACUCUCUUGAAUAACAGGAGCCUUGCUGGACAUUUCGGUAUCCUGGAAGGGAGUUGGGGCCAUUUCUUUGGCAGAAAUUGAAAUCGUUUUCUUAACAAACAAUCCCAUCGAAGAUUGGAAAACUCUAAUACAGAACUUAAGAACAAGUGUACACAUAAUACAUAAAUAUUAUCAUAGUUAUGUUACUAAAGAACUACUGUAACUGUGGUUGUUGAUUGUUUCCACUUGCUUAGGAACUGAAGUUACAUCUCUUCAGAUAGGAGCGGUGAUCUAUGUGAUAAAGUCCUUGUGUGGCAGAAAUGUGAGGUUAGGAAUGCUUAUACCAUUUGCUUUCUCCAAGUGUGCUUUACUCUUUUAUGCUACCCUUCACUUCUGGCUUAAACAUUGUCCAGGAAAUUCACCAACACUGAACAAAGAACCAGCUCCCUUACUUGAGUUUUAUCCUUCCUCCUCUAAAAUUGACAUUCCUUGAGGCAAUGUCCUGAAAUGACUUGUCCUACUCUGGCUAAAUGGUAGUGAUCUGUGUUUAACCCCAGCAGUUUAUCAAGCAGGUUCAUUUUAUAUCAUGUCAGUGUGUAGAGAGUGACGGGAAUACAAAAGGAUAAGGAAGUUAUUUUUUCAAUGUUUAUUUUUAUUUCAUGUGAAGCAUGAUUUUGUGUACUGACAAGUAAAUGAUAUAGGUGUAGGGGAAAGAGGAACAACCACCAUAUUAUUUUGCCAGAAUUCUCAUGUUAUAGUAUCCAAAAAAUGCCGAGAAAGAUGACAUUGCAUGUUAUAAUGUUCCCUCGCAAAUAAUGGCAAAGCUUUAAUCAACUGAUAAACCAGAUGCACUCAGGAUUGAAACGCAGCUUUCAAGGUUGAAAUGCAGCAAGUGGUUCAUUGAACACUGCACAGAAGGUAAAUGAAGUGUAUAUUUUCCAAUCACAAUUGGAAUUUUAAGUGAGUGGAAUGGAAUAAACUCAGUUUGGAAUUUGAAAUAAAUUCAGCUUGGAAUGUGUCUUAGAGACCAAGGUUUAUACAAGAGCUAUACAAACCUCUCAGCAUGAAACAUGACACAAGGUGAAAUUUUCCUGGCAUCUUAGAGGAGCCAGAUAUGGAUUUAUGCAGGACCAAGGCACAGACAAUUGGUCGAGAGCUAUUUGUUUCUAUUUGGGGACAGAAACCUAGAGGCUUAUUUAAUACCCUGGGGUGGGAGUAAUAUUCCACCUCGUAGAUAGAGCUGUGUACUCUUUCUCAGAAGGUGGUAUUUUUAGUUUGAUGUUAUACCAAUAAAAUGUUUCCAUCCUAUUUUCAUUUUUCUUUCUUUUGAUGUCAGCGUCAGUAGUUCAAAAUAGCUUCAUCUAUCACACACAGUAAAAUUGAUUAGCAAAAAGGAGAAGUGGUUGGAGAAAACACAAAAUUCAACUUCUGGUAAUUCAGGAGUAGCCACUAGCAGCAAUUUACCUGCCUCGUUGCCAAAGCAGUUUUCUCAAAUUAUGAAUUCUUAUGAGUGUAUAAGUUUGAGGGGAAUCAUAAAAGAGACUAGACUUUGUAUGCCAAGCCAAAGAAGCAGUUGGUAACUAACAAUACAUCUUUUUGCUAAGGUAAGUUUAAGUCGCAAGAAGACUUAAUCUACAGAGGAGAACACCCUGCGUAUUUCUUAGGAGCUUAGAAAUGCUGAGUUAGGGCUUCAGGGAAAUGCAAGGUGCUAGACUUCAAAAAAAAAAGAGAUCAUCUGUAGACUUAGCACACUGGAAAAAUGGAGAAAAUAAAACGGGUGCAGGGCUGUGGAUUAAAUAUUCGUAGUUAGAGUUUGAGCAUUUCAGAAGUGAAAUGACGAAGUAGGUGAGCCCCAGGAACACAGGAUAAUCAAGUUUGGUGGAUUGCUUGUUUUGAGUUUAUAGUUAUUUGUAGGGAUGGAGUCAGUCCCUUGGACUACAUAUUAUAUUUUUCCGCUAAGCAGUAUUUCCAUUAAACAGUAGCUUGUGAUUGUUUGGCCUGCCUUUGCAUUCAGGUAAAAAUCAAGCUAAUACCCUGUAAUUUAGCAAAUAUUUGUUUUCCUGGCAGUGGCGGACCUGCCAGUGUUACUGUUUCAGGGGCAGAUCUGCAGUGUUUACGGUUUCCACCACUUGGAGCUUUCUAUGUAUUCAUCCCUGGAUUAGACUCAAAGUAAGCUGAUUUCAUCAAGCCACUGGGUAAUUCUGACCAUUUCAUCAGGCGAUUUUAGAACUGUAUUAUUGCAGCUGACCUGUAGACAUAAGGAAUUACUGGGUCACCCACUCACGGAAAUGUCUUUUGAUUAUGAACACACUUGCAGCAUGUGUCCAUUGAAGGUAAGGGGGAAAAUACAACAUGGUCUACUUUAAUGCCGGUUUUAGUUAAAUAUAAAAGUGGGAUUUCAGGCAUAGCUCAAUUGUAUCUUCUGAAAAUUAAGUAGUUAAGCAAUUCUGUGUAGAAACAAGAUGUCUUUGAGGAACUGAACAUUCGGAUGAAGCAACCGUGUCCUUCAAACCACAUCCUUCCUGCUGCCUGUGGGAAAGAGGUGGUAUUUGUGUUGGGCUCUGAGCACACGCAGAAUAGAUCUGUGUGUAUUUCCAUAAAUAAAAGGACAUUGUGUGUGUGUUUGGCACCUGUGAUGGCAAGAGCAGUUGAUUGCUUCCGAAAGCUUUGUUCCAACUCCAGGAUCAGCAGGAUUUUUAAACACUGAACUAGGAACUGGACACUAAAAAUACAUACACAGGCGACCUCUGAUAGCAUUAGGUUUUGGAAGCAGGGUGAAGGCUUGCAAAUUGUGUUACAGCUGUGUCAUUACUCUAAUUAUUAUGGUUCAGGGGAAGGGAUUUGACAUGCUGUAUAUCCGACCUGCAGAUUCAUGAGCCAAGUUGUAGUAGCCGUUUGAGUUACUGCUUGUUGUUUCAAUGAAGAUGAUCCAGAAUCUAUAGAAUAAGAGUGUAUAUUUUGCUAAAACUGAAAACCUGGCCCCCGCUUUUUUUUGCUUAUGUUGUUUGUGUUGUGUUUCAUAAAGCCAUCAGCAGUUAAUGAUCUUGUGAUUUACUCAGACAGAAGAGCACCCACCAAAAAAAAAGGUUGAAAACAGAAUUGAAAGUUAUGUUACAACAUAAACUUGGCUUGUGAAAAAGAAACAGUAAUUUUCUAAUGCCACCCAGUUUUCUCAGGGUGAAAAUCAGGACCUUUCCAUGUUGUUUAUUUGAAUGCACUUUUUUCUAUGUGAAUAAAAUUUUCUUCUUGAAAUAUCUGUAGCAGGGAGUGAUUUUUGUUGAGAGGCAGUGUGCAUUUUUAAACUUUAUUCCUAUUUUAUUUAUACUCCACUGAAAUAGAUUUAAGAAACAAAAUAUAUUUAAGCAAGGAUCUCCAUUACUUAUGAGAAUUAUGUAUUGUCAAAUUUUAAGUCAUCAUUUUAUUCAAGCAAUCCAAUUAAGGGAGUCUCUUUUGAAGAAGUGGGAAACGUGUCAAGCUCAAACUCUGUGCGGUGUAAAGGUGUCUAUUUCUCAGAAAACCCAGUGUGUUUCAGUUCUUAGAGCAGACACUAUAAAAGAGUCCGUGUCUAAUCCUGUGAGUGAAAUUCUCUUAAAAGAGAAUGCUGAAUACAGAAGAAGGAAGUAGUGAUAGGUAAGAAAAUGUCCUUCUCCAUUCACUUUACAGUACGGCCACUGUUCCCCCCAGCUCAGAUAGCUCUACUUGGAGCACAAUCCCAGGGAUUUCAGGAUCAAGUGGGAAGAAACACAUCUCAGUGACAGGCAUGGCAUUAAACCUGCAGAAUGGCAUUUUAUUGAGUACUUAUUUGUGUUUUCAGGGCUUCUAAAACACAAUAAUGUGUAACCUAUGAGUGAUAUAAAUGCAUUUCAUUAACAGGCAGUACAGAGUUUCAAACGGAAGUAAG
rnacentral:lncRNA from 1 species